rnacentral:rRNA from 1 species
UACGUAGGGGGCGAGCGUUGUCCGGAAUCAUUGGGCGUAAAGCGCGUGUAGGCGGCUCGUUAAGUCCGGUGUGAAACCUUGGGGCUCAACCCCAAGCCUGCACUGGAUACUGCCGAGCUAGAGUCCGGGAGGGGAGAGCGGAAUUCCUAGUGUAGCGGUGAAAUGCGCAGAUAUUAGGAAGAACACCGGUGGCGAAGGCGGCUCUCUGGACCAGCACUGACGCUGAGGCACGAAAGCGUGGGGAGCAAACAGG